rnacentral:rRNA from 1 species
GAUGAACGCUGGCGGCGUGCUUAACACAUGCAAGUCGAACGGAAAGGCCCAAGCUUGCUUGGGUACUCGAGUGGCGAACGGGUGAGUAACACGUGGGUGAUCUGCCCUGCACUUCGGGAUAAGCCUGGGAAACUGGGUCUAAUACCGGAUAGGACCACUUCUUGGAUGUUGUGGUGGAAAGUUUUUUCGGUGUGGGAUGAGCUCGCGGCCUAUCAGCUUGUUGGUGGGGUAAUGGCCUACCAAGGCGUCGACGGGUAGCCGGCCUGAGAGGGUGUACGGCCACAUUGGGACUGAGAUACGGCCCAGACGCCUACGGGAGGCAGCAGUGGGGAAUAUUGCACAAUGGGCGCAAGCCUGAUGCAGCGACGCCGCGUGGGGGAUGACGGCCUUCGGGUUGUAAACGCCUUUCGCUAGGGACGAAGCGUUUUGUGACGGUACCUGGAGAAGAAGCACCGGCUAACUACGUG